UAAUGAAUUAUUAUGUAUAGUUUCUGCUUUUAUUUUGACAAAAACUGAAACAGGGGAUAAAACUUGCCGAAUUACAGGUCCAAAUCGAAAGAAAACAACAAUGCAUCAACGAAUUUCUGAAAAUUCAUUCAUUUAUCUACACAAUGAUACUAUCCAUUUGAUUCAGUAAUCUGUCGCAUUUUUCCGCAAGGGCUAUUUAUAAACACAUCGUUUCUGAGAGUGGCCAAAAACAAGAACAAUUUGAUGACUCAUAAGGCAUGCAACCUUAAAAGCCGAGAGUAUCCGAAUUAACCAGGAAGUAAUUUUUGUUUACUUAUAAAAUGCCAACCUCUGUAAAUAGUUAUUUAUUUUGAGUAAACAUUGAGUGAGAAAUAAAGCCAUAGAAUACAUUCAUACCACUCAAAUUCAGCCAGUCAGAAUGAUGGGAAGGAUUGCAGAACUGAGUUUCACUCUCACCUGACUGAUGCAGAUUCAGUAACCUAAUUGCUCAUGAUGGUUUCUGAGAAAAAACAACAGCUUGGUGUAAUUUGACAGUAUUUUUCAGUAUUUGACAGUGAUUCUAUCAUGCAACAGUCAUACCAUGAAGUGUCUCACAGAUUCUCUAUCAAUUCCUGCAAUAUCUAAGAUUACAGUGUAGUGCAAAGAGGAUUAAAUUUCUUGCAAUAAGAAGUAUCUGCACUUCCAAAUACCCCUGUACAGCAUGAACAGUUCCUUCAUUUUUUGAGUGAUUAUAGAGUGAAAAUGUUUCCAUAUAAAAUGUUUUCUUUUUAUGUGUAACACUUGUUAUGCAUGGACAUUAUAAUUCCAAAUCUAUGCACAUUUUGAUUCCAAUAAUUAACCACAAACGUAUUUUAAAUUUGGUUUGAAACAGAAAUAUUGUCCUUAUGUUUGUUUCUAAACAUUAUCUGGUAUUAUUCGUGUUGAUAGUUUCCAUGUCAAUUUUAAAAAAAGUCAGUUCUUUUAAAGAUGCACUCUUACUCCCACAUAAUAUUUACCACAGUUAAUAUUUUUGUUUUGUUAUUCCAAAAAGGAUGAAUAAAUGUUGAAAACAAUGGUUCUAAUGAAGGAUGCCUACUUCUACUUGAAGGAAAUGUGCAUAAAAGACAGUAGUUCUACCAAUUGAGAUCACAGUAAAUCUUUAUGCAUUCACCAAUCAUUUAAUAUGUUUGCGUUUGUUAUACAUGUGUAUGCAUUGAUACUGAAUAAGAGUGUCACUUUAAACAGUUGCCAUGGUAACUUUAGAGUCUAGUUUUCUUAAGAAACUGUAAUUGUUGUCUAAAAACCUUUGUAUUUUCAAUGUGAUACCUUUUUAGCAUGUCCGCUUCAGUCAAGGGAAUAUUUCUGUUAUUUGUUAAUCAUUUGGUCAUACUUUGUAUACAAUUUUUUUUAUAAUUUAACCUUGAAAAUUGCUGACAAUCUCAUACUUAUAUUGAAAUAUUCAGAAUUGCUAGAUUGGUUGAAGUUCACCUUUAUUACAAUUGUCAGGCAAAUCAUGGCAAGAUAUACAUAAUUCUCCUUUUUAACAAAAAGCAAUGUUUAAAGCAUUUUUUUGUAUUUUUAUUGAAUGGUUACCAUGGCAACUAAUUUUUUGUUUGCCUUUAAUCUUCCUAUUUAUAAUACUAUUAACUGUAAAAAUGCAACAGUCAAGCAGUGAAUGGAAGAAUGUAAAUGUUCUUUGUCUUUUACCUUUUUCAAGCUCAUUCUUCAAAAUAUAAAGCAUUUUUAAAAUUUCUUAAAAAUGGACGUUUUUUCAUCAUUGUUUUAAAGUGAAAUAAUUUGCUUAAAACAUUGUUUAUGUUCUGAUAUUUAGGAAUGUGUAUUAAAUUUAUAGAAAUUAAACAAAAUGUGUUGUUUGACAUUAUUUAUUCCAUUUAAAUUCCGAAGUUUUGAAUUUGACCUAUUUUGGCAGACAAAUUGAUAAAAAUGUAAAAUUAAAAGGGCCAUAAUUCUGUAAAAAAUUGAUGGAUUUUGAAGAAAUGUGCAUAUAUGAGUUUGUAAUGACGUAACCUUUAAAAUGAUAUAUCAGUUUAAUAUACCGCAUUAAACUAAUUUUUUACGUUGUUAUUGCUACCAAUAUUAUAACAAAUAUUUAACACUCUUCAUAAACAGCUCUCUAUUCAUAAAUAAUGCCGUAAAUAUAUUCAUAACACAAAACGUAUUCAAUAAAUAGUAGCAUCUAGUACAAGGUUAUAUUAGUAAUCUCUGCCCACAAGAAAAGUUCUAAAACAAAAUCUUUUAUCCUGACUAAGCAACGUUCAUCCAUCUUCCAACCAUUUUUGGUUAGGUCGAAAGAAGGUUAUGACUUACCUGUAAAAUCUGCGCUCCGAUAGUAAUUUACACCCACACGGGCUUAAGUAUAAAUGACCGUCACUCUCGUGCGCACAACCCAGAAGUUUAUCUGGUUAUCUUACAGGUAAGAGUACAAUGUAUUAGUUUAGAAGUAUAAUUUAUUAUUACAUUUAGAUUCUUUUUCAUAAAUUGUUUUAAGUCUUUCUUAUGAAAAUGUACUGAGUUGUAUAAUGAAUAAAGUUAAAAGAAUUAUUUAAUCAACACGUUUAGUAUUUUAUUUGAAUUUCUGUAUGCUUUCAUUUUUCUUGAACUCGUAUAAUUGUAUGAACUCCUCAACAGUAUUGAUAUGUUUUAGAAUUAUUUUUUUUAUUAAUUCUAGUCACAAUAAUUAAUUUUGUUACAAUUUGCUAUGUUAAAAAUUGUAUCAUGUUAUUCAUGUGUUACUUUUAAUCAAAUUUGUUAUUUUAUUGCAUUAUUUAUUCAUCACACAUUAAAUUGUGACUUAUUGUGACCGUUCUAAUAUAUUUUUCUGGUUAUCUUACAGUUUUGUCUUCUGGUCGUGUUUCGGAUUGAGAGACAAAACCUGGUACCUCUCAAUGAAAAUUGAAAAAUGAAUUUGAGUUUCGCUUCCCCAGCUGGUACGUACACCAACAUCCGUUAGAGCACCAAUCCGUAACAAUUGAAAUAACUGUUUCGUCAAGCUAUAUAUUUGAAAAUGAGUGAAGCGUCCAAACACGACACACAGUGCAAAUAACAAAUCACAAAAAGAAAAAUAAAUAGAAGAAUGUGGCAAAAAAAGCCUUAUUAGAAGGCAUGUAGCUUAUAAGUAUUUAUGUUUACCUUAUUUAAACAUCAAUAUCUGUUAAAUAUUUGCUAAGUAACAUAAUAAGAUGCAAGUCAGUCAGAUUCUGUUACUCAUUAAUUUUCAUUUUAUUCAUGUUGACCCCAUAUUAUUUUGUAUCAUUUGAACAUUUUGCUAUUAAUUAAGCGGAAA